rnacentral:rRNA from 1 species
CCCUUAGAUGUUCUGGGCCGCACGCGCGCUACACUGAUGCAUUCAACAAGCCUAGCCUUGACCGAGAGGUCCGGGUAAUCUUUGAAACUGCAUCGUGAUGGGGCUAGAUUAUUGCAAUUAUUAAUCUUCAACGAGGAAUGCCUAGUAAGCGUGAUUCAUCAAAUCGCGUUGAUUACGUCCCUGCCCUUUGUACACACCGCCCGUCGCUACUACCGAUUGAACGUUUUAGUGAGGUACUCGGACUGAGCCUCAGAAGAUUCACGUCUUUUGUGCUGCUCGGGAAGAUUCCCAAACUUGAGCGUUUAGAGGAAGUAAAAGUCGUAACA